CGUUGAAACUGUCGGUCUUGAGUGUACACAGGGCAGGUGGAAUUUGUGGUGUAGCGGUGAAAUGCUUAGAUAUCACGAGGAACUCCGAUCGCGAAGGCAUCCUGCCGGGGUACGACUGACGCUGAGGCUCGAAAGUGUGGGUAUCAAACAGGAUUAGAUACCCUGGUAGUCCACACGGUAAACGAUGAAUGCUCGUUGUUGGCGAUACAAUGUCAGUGACCAAGCGAAAGCGUUAAGCAUUCCACCUGGGGAGUACGCCGGCAACGGUGAAACUCAAAGGAAUUGACGGGGGCCCGCACAAGCGGAGGAACAUGUGGUUUAAUUCGAUGAUACGCGAGGAACCUUACCCGGGCUUGAAUUGCAGUUGCAUAAGUCAGAGAUGACUUUUCCCUUCGGGGCUACUGUGAAGGUGCUGCAUGGUUGUCGUCAGCUCGUGCCGUGAGGUGUCGGCUUAAGUGCCAUAACGAGCGCAACCCCUUUCCAUAGUUGCCAUCGGGUAAUGCCGGGCCCUCUAUGGAUACUGCCGUCGCAAGGCGUGAGGAAGGUGGGGAUGACGUCAAAUCAGCACGGCCCUUACGUCCGGGGCUACACACGUGUUACAAUGGGGGGUACAGAAGGCCGCUACCCGGCGACGGGAUGCCAAUCCUUAAAACCCCUCUCAGUUCGGACUGGAGUCUGCAACCCGACUCCACGAAGCUGGAUUCGCUAGUAAUCGCGCAUCAGCCAUGGCGCGGUGAAUACGUUCCCGGGCCUUGUACACAC
rnacentral:rRNA from 1 species